UUGUGAAAUGUUUUUUCUCUUUUCUUUCCACCAGACAAGAAAGAAUCUCUUCUAAAACAUCUGUAAACAUUUCCUUUAUGGAUAAUGUUUGGUGCCCAAGCCAACAAGCACCUCUACUAUUUCACGAGUACCUAAUCCCUCCUACAAGCAUAUAAACCUCACAAAAAUUAAAAGAACGAAAGAAAUAAAGUAAAGAAGUGACGCGCUAAGUUGUAGACAGUAA
rnacentral:misc_RNA from 1 species